rnacentral:snoRNA from 1 species
ACCCAACGAUUUUAGUCAAGGUAAUGAAUAAUAGGAGCAACACUCAUGUGUGUGGCAAUCCUUACAAUUCGACAUUCUUACCUGUUACAUUGUUGGAAGAUCAAGGAAAUACUGCCUUUUACUUGAUUGUCAUCGUUUUGAUGUCUGAUCGAGUGCUUUUUUAAUCAAGUAUUCAGGAUUCUUCUUGAGUUGAAGCUAAUCUUGCUUUUUGUAUUCUUUACAAAUUAUACAUUACAUUAGUUUCGUAGUAUAGGAUCCAACAUUU